AAUCUUCAAGACCAUUUACAGAGCUUUCCACCUGGGGUCUCCAACUGGGCUACAGCACCGCCAUGGGGCUCAAGCAAGACCGACGAAGUCAGCCCUGCGAAUACGGGGUGGCCCCCUCCCCAGCUGCUGGAAGUGCUCAGCCAGGGUCCUUGCAGAUGAAACUCAAUAAGAUGAGGUCACAUUGGAGUCCUUACCAAACGAGGAAGCUUGGACAGAGACAUGCAGAGGAAAGACCACACGGAGAGACACAGGGAGAAGACCACAUGGAGCGGCAAACCCCCAGAAGCUGGGAGACAGGCCUGGAACAGAUUCACCCUCCAGGCUCUCAGAAGAGCCAGCCAACCCCACUGAUACCUGGAUCUCCAUUUCUGGCCUCCAGAACAUCAAGACAAUACAUUUGGUAUUGAAGCCCCACUGUUUGUGAUCCUCUGUGAUGCAGCCCUAGCAAACCAAUACUAGGCUGGAGCUGGGCAGGGGUUCCCUGCAGUAGGUUGGCGCGCUCUCAGGAUCCUUCCGGGAACAGCACGA